AUGUUUCCUGAACACAAAAUGGCGACACGUGGUUAGCAUUCGUCGCCAACGAGAAAUUGGGGUCGGCCCGAAAGCUCUAGAAUGCACCCCUCUUCCUCCCCGGGGCCUUCCACCUCCGCGAGUUUUAUGACUUAAAAAAGCCCACAGGCUGGUCUGAAGACUUCCUAGCAUGGGCUGUUGUGCUGGAGAGAACGAGAGCUACGAAGAGACUACAGUGCCUCUGACUUUUUCAUAGGACAGUUGGCCGAGGAAGACAAACAUAAAGAUGAAGUGCUUAAUUCAAGGUCACACAAUGUCGGGGAUGGACCUCCAGAUUUCCUUACUGACCUGCAUUAUCUUGUGGAUACCUGAGUGAAUUCCACACCACCCAUUUUAUAGAUGAAACCACUGAGACAUGGAGCAAUUGACUGAGUAGUCACUGCCCCACCCCUGCCUGGAGCCUCACACAUGACUCGCCUCCUCUCAGUGACCACAGGAAAACAAGCUCAGGGCUCCCACUGAUUGUACAUUAUGAGACGGA
rnacentral:lncRNA from 1 species